GUGGGGAAUUUUGGACAAUGGGCGCAAGCCUGAUCCAGCUAUUCCGCGUGUGGGAUGAAGGCCCUCGGGUUGUAAACCACUUUUGUAGAGAACGAAAAGACACCUUCGAAUAAAGGGUGUUGCUGACGGUACUCUAAGAAUAAGCACCGGCUAACUACGUGCC
rnacentral:rRNA from 1 species